CCCCUCCCCACUCCUCGUCCAUUUGUGCCCACGCCGUGAGCCCCUCCUCAUCCCAUCGCCGCGAAAGAGCAUGAACCGGAAGCGAGCCGCCAUGGACGGUCUUCACCCUGACCAUCGAUCCAGCCAUAGGGAAUGAUCCAGGGUGGAGAGCAGGGCAUAGGGGAGGUGCGCGGACUGACCCAGGGGCUCGGUGGUGUCUGGGACAUCAUCAAUUGAUCGUUGAAGUGUAGGCAACUCCGAUGUGUCGCCCUUCCCCGUUGCCAAGGUUCUACGUGACUUGGUAGCCGGUGACCGU
rnacentral:lncRNA from 7 species